rnacentral:rRNA from 1 species
UACGGAGGGUGCAAGCGUUAUCCGGAAUCACUGGGUUUAAAGGGUGCGUAGGCGGUGGCGUAAGUCAGUUGUGAAAUUCCCCGGCUUAACCGGCGGGACUGCGAUUGAUACUGCGUUACUUGAAUCAGGUUGAGGUAGGCGGAAUGUGACAUGUAGCGGUGAAAUGCUUAGAUAUGACAUAGAACACCAAUUGCGAAGGCAGCUGGCUACAGGUGGAUUGACACUGAGGCACGAAAGCGUGGGGAUCAAACAGG